UACAGAGGUGGCAAGCGUUGUUCGGAAUUACUGGGCGUAAAGGGCGCGUAGGCGGUCGAUUAAGUCCCGUGUGAAAUCCCUCGGCUCAACUGAGGAACUGCACGGGAAACUGGCUGACUUGAGUUCGGGAGAGGGAAGCGGAAUUCCGGGUGUAGCGGUGAAAUGCGUAGAUAUCCGGAGGAACACCGGUGGCGAAGGCGGCUUCCUGGACCGAUACUGACGCUGAGGCGCGAAAGCCAGGGGAGCGAACGGG
rnacentral:rRNA from 1 species